GAUCCUGGCUCAGGAUGAACGCUAGCGGCAGGCUUAACACAUGCAAGUCGAGGGGCAGCGGGGAGUAGCAAUACUCCGCCGGCGACCGGCGCACGGGUGUGUAACGCGUAUGCAACCUACCUUUAACAGGGGCGUAACACUGAGAAAUUGGUACUAAUUCCCCAUAACAUUCGAGAAGGCAUCUUCUUGGGUUAAAAACUCCGGUGGUUAAAGAUGGGCAUGCGUUGUAUUAGCUAGUUGGUGAGGUAACGGCUC
rnacentral:rRNA from 1 species